rnacentral:rRNA from 1 species
AUACGUAGGGGGCGAGCGUUGUCCGGAAUGAUUGGGCGUAAAGCGCGCGUAGGCGGCCCGGUAAGUCUGGCGUGAAAGUCCUGUUUUUAAGAUGGGAAUUGCUUUGGAUACUGUCGGGCUUGAGUGCAGUAGAGGUAAGUGGAAUUACCAGUGUAGCGGUGAAAUGCGUAGAGAUUGGGAGGAACACCAAUGGCGUAGGCGACUUUCUGGAGUGUACCGGACGCUCAGGCGCGCAAGUGUGGGGAGCAAACAGGAUGAGAUUCCCGGGUAGUCCCCACUAUGAAGGAUGAAUGCUAGUUGGAGUGAGCGUCGACCCUUUGUGCGCUGGAGGCAAAGCGAUAAGCGAUACGCCUGGGGACUACUGCUGCAAGGUUGAUGCUGAAAUUAAUGGACGGGG